rnacentral:hammerhead_ribozyme from 1 species
AUCCAGAUGAUGAGUCCCGAAUAGGACGAAAUGCGCAUCCUGGAU